rnacentral:rRNA from 1 species
UGGGGAAUAUUGCACAAUGGGCGCAAGCCUGAUGCAGCCAUGCCGCGUGUAUGAAGAAGGCCUUCGGGUUGUAAAGUACUUUCAGCGAGGAGGAAGGCAUUAAGGUUAAUAACCUUAGUGAUUGACGUUACUCGCAGAAGAAGCACCGGCUAACUCCGUGCCAGCAGCCGCGGUAAUACGGAGGGUGCAAGCGUUAAUCGGAAUUACUGGGCGUAAAGCGCACGCAGGCGGUCUGUCAAGUCGGAUGUGAAAUCCCCGGGCUCAACCUGGGAACUGCAUUCGAAACUGGCAGGCUAGAGUCUUGUAGAGGGGGGUAGAAUUCCAGGUGUAGCGGUGAAAUGCGUAGAGAUCUGGAGGAAUACCGGUGGCGAAGGCGGCCCCCUGGACAAAGACUGACGCUCAGGUGCGAAAGCGUGGGGAGCAAACAG